UACGGGGGGGGCAAGCGUUGUUCGGAAUUACUGGGCGUAAAGGGCUCGUAGGCGGCCAACUAAGUCAGACAUGAAAUCCCUAGGCUCAACCUAGGAACUGCGUCUGAUACUGGAUGGCUUGAAUCCGGGAGAGGGAUGCAGAAUUCCAGGUGUAGCGGUGAAAUGCGUAGAUAUCUGGAGGAAUACCGGUGGCGAAGGCGGCAUCCUGGACCGGCAUUGACGCUGAGGAGCGAAAGCCAGGGGAGCAAACGGG
rnacentral:rRNA from 1 species